UACGGGGGGGGCAAGCGUUGUUCGGAAUUACUGGGCGUAAAGGGCUCGUAGGCGGCCAACUAAGUCAGACGUGAAAUCCCUCGGCUUAACCGGGGAACUGCGUCUGAUACUGGAUGGCUUGGAUUUGGGAGAGGAAUGCGGAAUUCCAGGUGUAGCGGUGAAAUGCGUAGAUAUCUGGAGGAACACCGGUGGCGAAGGCGGCAUUCUGGACCAAUAUUGACGCUGAGGAGCGAAAGCCAGGGGAGCAAACGGG
rnacentral:rRNA from 1 species